rnacentral:rRNA from 1 species
GCCAGCAGCCAUGUCACCCUGCAACUUACAACUUACAACCCACUGAAGCUAAGCAGGUGUGAGGCUGGUCAGUACCUGGAUGGGAGACCUCCCGGAAAAAACUAAGGUUGCUGCUGGAA